rnacentral:rRNA from 1 species
UUGCACGCUGGCGGCAGGCCUAACACAUGCAAGUCGAGCGGAUGAAGGGAGCUUGCUCCUGGAUUCAGCGGCGGACGGGUGAGUAAUGCCUAGGAAUCUGCCUGGUAGUGGGGGAUAACGUCCGGAAACGGGCGCUAAUACCGCAUACGUCCUGAGGGAGAAAGUGGGGGAUCUUCGGACCUCACGCUAUCAGAUGAGCCUAGGUCGGAUUAGCUAGUUGGUGGGGUAAAGGCCUACCAAGGCGACGAUCCGUAACUGGUCUGAGAGGAUGAUCAGCCACACUGGAACUGAGACACGGUCCAGACUCCUACGGGAGGCAGCAGUGGGGAAUAUUGGACAAUGGGCGAAAGCCUGAUCCAGCCAUGCCGCGUGUGUGAAGAAGGUCUUCGGAUUGUAAAGCACUUUAAGUUGGGAGGAAGGGCAGUAAGUUAAUACCUUGCUGUUUUGACGUUACCAACAGAAUAAGCACCGGCUAACUUCGUG